UACGGGGGGGGCAAGCGUUGUUCGGAAUUACUGGGCGUAAAGGGCUCGUAGGCGGCCAACUAAGUCCGACGUGAAAUCCCCAGGCUUAACCUGGGAACUGCGUCGGAUACUGGAUGGCUUGAAUUCGGGAGAGGGAUGCAGAAUUCCAGGUGUAGCGGUGAAAUGCGUAGAGAUCAGGAGGAACACCCGUGGCGAAGGCGGCCUUCUGGGUCCGCCCUGACGCUGAGGCGCGAAAGCGUGGGGAGCGAACAGG
rnacentral:rRNA from 1 species